CACGCUCGCACUGGUUAGACUUGCCCGCUGUGUAAGAGGAAGGUCACACUAAGAAAGUGUGUAGGUUGAGAAAGUGUGUUGGUUGGUUUGACAGAAGCUAGACUAGCCAGAGACAAGCUCUGGGCAAGUAUUUGAGGUAAUAUCUGGAUGUAAUUAAUCGAGGUGAGGAGACCGGCCCUAACUGGGAGGCACCAUCGCUUGGACUGAACAAAAGGUCCUUGAGCCCUGCUGCGAGACGCCCAGGCUUUGGAGGGCAAUAACCUGGGACUGUGAGUCAGCACAAAGCCUUCCUUCUUUACCUUGCUAUCCUCAGGGUAUUUUUCCAUAACAGUAGAAAGGAAUGUAGGCAGUAGGGUACCUGCAAGAUCAGAGAGGAGAUAGGACUGUUGAUGGGGGAGGAUCUUGGAGGGAGAUGCAGAUAAGAAAGUCCCGGUAGAGAGCCCUGGGCAAGUCUCCUUAACACGCUAGGACUCCGUCUGGAGCAGAAGCAUCCAUUGAAGAUGAGGAAUCCGCAGUUCAAGAUAACUAACUGGCUGGCGCCAGCUGGCGGGGCUCACUGGGCUCAGACUGGAACGAAUGGCCACUUUGAGUUUCAACUCCAAGCGUCCACCAGGGGGAGGCUGCAGGACCUCGCUGUGCAGAGCUGAGAAGGGCUGCCACGUGUCGGAUGAGGACUGCGUGGAGCCGCGGGGUAGCGAGGAGGCUCUGUCGUUCCCCAAAGCAAGGGCUGGGUUCUCCGUGCAAAGGUGUAAUGACACGGAGAAACGGCAGAUUUUAUGGAAUAAAAGAGGAAGCUUCUCGCGACGACGCUUCUGCGAGGUAUCUGAACCAAGCCAGCUUUCCUGGGAGGAUCAAGAAUUUCAACUCCUGGAUUCCAGGAGAGCAGGAUGGAGAACAAUGGGAAGUCUGUGGUUAGGGAGGGGACCUGCAGUUCCACACGCGGACACCGGAGGGGAGGCAGAGGACACUUGGUCCUUGGUUUUAAUUCAUUUCUAUUUAUUUAUUUAUUCCUGCCUAGUAGGAAUGGAGAGAUCUGAUCUUUCAAAAAAGAAAUAAAUAAAUAAAAGCAAUCAAACAAAAACAAUUUUAAAAAAU
rnacentral:lncRNA from 1 species